rnacentral:rRNA from 1 species
CAUGAAGCUGGAAUCGCUAGUAAUCGCGAAUCAGAAUGUCGCGGUGAAUACGUUCCCGGGUCUUGUACGCACCGCCCGUCACACCAUGGGAGUCAGUAACGCCCGAAGUCAGUGACCCAACCGGAACAGGAGGGAGCUGCCGAAGGUGGGACCGAUAACUGGGGUGAAGUCGUAACAAGGUACC